AACAAAUUUUUUCUUUGCCAUUAAAGCCAAGACUUUGGAAUGUAUUCUUCCAUGUUAUUUAAAUGCAACAUACGAAUAUAAUGUGCUAAAUAAAUUUUAUACAAUGCAUUAUUGCUUAAGUCUAUAUUAUAAUUUGAAUUAAAUUUAUCAAUUCUUUUAAUAUCCGAAGAAAUAAAUUGAAAAUCAUUGUGUUUAACAUCUUUUAGACCUACAUUUGUCAGAACAAAAGUAUUAUGUGUUAAUUUAUUAUAAACCAUUGAAUUAAACAUUAGACGACUUGGUUCUGCAUGUAAUAUUGUGACAAUUGUUAUUCAAAUAAAGGCAAAAAUUUCUUGGAUCAAUUGAUGUUUCAAUGAUAAAAGUAACAUCAACAUAUUUUUUCUUCAUUUUUCGCAUUAACAUUAAAGGUAAAGAUUGCCGCCAAUCUUUUUCUCUACUUCUGAUUUUUAAAUCUGUUGCCUUUUGAUUAAAAUCAAUAGCAGGCAUUACAGGAUGUGCGGAUAAAAGUCGUACUUCUAAAUAUGGACUUACUAAAGUUUAAAGGUUGAGGAAUUAUGGAAAAAAAAGUCUUGGAAAUUUUAUUUACAUUCGCCCCAACAACGUAAUUAGGAUUAUUUCAAUAUCUUAUAAUUUAUAUAGAUAAUAUUUUCCACGCUAUUUUGUGAAAUUCCAAUUAUUAAUCGUUCUGCAUAAACGCAAUAAAUUACGUAGAAUAGAUAAUAAAAUAACAUCGAUGUUUUAUUAUAUUCAAAUAAUAACACCGUCCGAUUAUA